rnacentral:tRNA from 2 species
CCUCCUAUUAUACUUAACUUUGAAAGUUUUGUUUGGAAUUUUCCUAGGGGCU